rnacentral:misc_RNA from 1 species
CGAAAUGCGAUAAGUAAUGUGAAUUGCAGAAUUCAGUGAAUCAUCGAAUCUUUGAACGCACCUUGCGCUCCUUGGUAUUCCUUGGAGCAUGCCUGUUUGAGUAUCAUGAAAUCUUCAAAGUAAAUCUUUUGUUAACUCAAUUGGUUUCUACUUUGGUAUUGGAGGUCUUUGCAGCUUCACACCUGCUCCUCUUUGUUCAUUAGCUGGAUCUCAGUGUUAUGCUUGGUUCCACUCGGCGUGAUAAGUUAUCUAUCGCUGAGGACACUGUAAAAGGUGGCCAAGGUAAAUGCAGAUGAACCGCUUCUAAUAGUCCAUUGACUUGGACAAUACUUUUAUGAUCUGAUCUCAAAUCAGGUAGGACCACCCGCUGAACUUAAGC